UAGGGAAUCUUCGGCAAUGGGGGGAACCCUGACCGAGCAACGCCGCGUGAGUGAAGAAGGUUUUCGGAUCGUAAAGCUCUGUUGUUAAGGAAGAACGAGUGUGAGAAUGGAAAGUUCAUACUGUGACGGUACUUAACCAGAAAGGGACGGCUAACUACGUGCCAGCAGCCGCGGUAUACGUAGGUCCCGAGCGUUGUCCGGAUUUAUUGGGCGUAAAGCGAGCGCAGGCGGUUAGAUAAGUCUGAAGUUAAAGGCAGUGGCUCAACCAUUGUAGGCUUUGGAAACUGUUUAACUUGAGUGCAGAAGGGGAGAGUGGAAUUCCAUGUGUAGCGGUGAAAUGCGUAGAUAUAUGGAGGAACACCGGUGGCGAAAGCGGCUCUCUGGUCUGUAACUGACGCUGAGGCUCGAAAGCGUGGGGAGCGAACAGG
rnacentral:rRNA from 1 species